rnacentral:rRNA from 1 species
AGAACGAACGCUGGCGGCAUGCCUAAUACAUGCAAGUCGAACGAACACUUCGGUGUUAGUGGCGCACGGGUGCGUAACGCGUGGGAAUCUGCCCUUGGGUUCGGAAUAACAGUUGGAAACGACUGCUAAUACCGGAUGAUAUCGAAAGAUCAAAGAUUUAUCGCCCAGGGAUGAGCCCGCGUAGGAUUAGCUAGUUGGUGAGGUAAAGGCUCACCAAGGCGACGAUCCUUAGCUGGUCUGAGAGGAUGAUCAGCCACACUGGGACUGAGACACGGCCCAGACUCCUACGGGAGGCAGCAGUAGGGAAUAUUGGACAAUGGGCGCAAGCCUGAUCCAGCAAUGCCGCGUGAGUGAUGAAGGCCUUAGGGUUGUAAAGCUCUUUUACCCGAGAUGAUAAUGACAGUAUCGGAGAAUAAGCCCCGGACUAACUCCGUGCCAGCAGCCGCGGUAAU